CAGGUGUCUAAGGUAGGCUUCCACUACAAUGCCUUACUGAUGAGUCCAGUAGUGGAACUACUCCGGGACGAAACGCCAA
rnacentral:hammerhead_ribozyme from 15 species